GUAGGGAAUCUUCCGCAAUGGACGCAAGUCUGACGGAGCAACGCCGCGUGAGUGAUGAAGGUUUUCGGAUCGUAAAACUCUGUUGCGAGGGAAGAAACCGUGCCAACUAACUAUUGGCACCUUGACGGUACCUCGCCAGAAAGCCACGGCUAACUACGUGCCAGCAGCCGCGGUAAUACGUAGGUGGCAAGCGUUGUCCGGAAUUAUUGGGCGUAAAGCGCGCGCAGGCGGUCCCUUAAGUCUGAUGUGAAAGCCCACGGCUCAACCGUGGAGGGUCAUUGGAAACUGGGGGACUUGAGUGCAGAAGAGGAAAGUGGAAUUCCAUGUGUAGCGGUGAAAUGCGUAGAGAUGUGGAGGAACACCAGUGGCGAAGGCGACUUUCUGGUCUGUAACUGACGCUGAGGCGCGAAAGCGUGGGGAGCAAACAGGAUUAGAUACCCGGGUAGUCC
rnacentral:rRNA from 1 species